rnacentral:lncRNA from 1 species
ACCAAUCUUCAAGAAGCCUCUUCCUCCACCAGUGCCAAUCUACAAGAAACCUCUCCCUCCCCACAUCCCAGUGUACAAGAAGCCUCUUCCACCACCAAUCCCAGUAUACAAGAAGCCUCUUCCACCACCAGUCCCAAUAUACAAGAAGCCUCUUCCACCACCAAUCCCAGUAUACAAGAAGCCUCUUCCACCACCAGUCCCAGUAUACAAGAAGCCACUUCCACCACCAGUCCCAAUAUACAAAAAGCCACUUCCCCCACUAGUCCCAGUAUACAAAAAGCCUCUUCCCCCACCAAUUCCCAUAUACACAAAGCCAUUUCCACCACCAGUCCCAUUCUUUAAGCCAAAGCCAAAGCCACAUCCAUUCUUUAAGCCAAAGCCAAAGCCACAUCCAUUCUUUAAGC